GGGUUGUGAGGUUAAGCGACUAAGCGUACACGGUGGAUGCCCUGGCAGUCAGAGGCGAUGAAGGACGUGCUAAUCUGCGAUAAGCGCCGGUAAGGUGAUAUGAACCGUUAUAACCGGCGAUUUCCGAAUGGGGAAACCCAGUGUGACUCGUCACACUAUCAUUAACUGAAUCCAUAGGUUAAUGAGGCGAACCGGGGGAACUGAAACAUCUAAGUACCCCGAGGAAAAGAAAUCAACCGAGAUUCCCCCAGUAGCGGCGAGCGAACGGGGAGGAGCCCAGAAGCCUGAAUCAGCAUGUGUGUUAGUGGAAGCGUCUGGAAAGGCGCGCGAUACAGGGUGACAGCCCCGUACACAAAAGCGCAUGUGCUGUGAGCUCGAUGAGUAGGGCGGGACACGUGGUAUCCUGUCUGAAUAUGGGGGGACCAUCCUCCAAGGCUAAAUACUCCUGACUGACCGAUAGUGAACCAGUACCGUGAGGGAAAGGCGAAAAGAACCCCGGCGAGGGGAGUGAAAAAGAACCUGAAACCGUGUACGUACAAGCAGUGGGAGCCCCACCACUAAGCCAGUGGUGAACUCCACAUACGCAUCCUUUGCUGAGGAUACGGUUAACGGAGCGAAAGCGACGUUCAACCUCAAAAGAAGCAGAGGGGGCUUAGUGGUGGGGUGACUGCGUACCUUUUGUAUAAUGGGUCAGCGACUUAUAUUCUGUAGCAAGGUUAACCGAAUAGGGGAGCCGGAGGGAAACCGAGUCUUAACCGGGCGUUAAGUUGCAGGGUAUAGACCCGAAACCCGGUGAUCUAGCCAUGGGCAGGUUGAAGGUUGGGUAACACUAACUGGAGGACCGAACCGACUAAUGUUGAAAAAUUA
rnacentral:rRNA from 1 species